UGUGGGGUAGCUUAACGGUCAGAGCAAUGGACUUUUCACCCAUAUAGUGCGGGUUCGAUUCCCGUUCCCACUUUUUAGCGA
rnacentral:tRNA from 1 species